GACGUAGGAGGCGAGCGUUGUCCGGAUUCAUUGGGCGUAAAGAGCGCGCAGGCGGCUCGGUAAGUCGGUUGUGAAAUUCCGGGGCUCAACCCCGGGACUGCGUCCGAUACUGUCGGGCUAGAGGUAGGUAGGGGAGAUCGGAAUUCCUGGUGUAGCGGUGAAAUGCGCAGAUAUCAGGAGGAACACCGGUGGCGAAGGCGGAUCUCUGGGCCUUACCUGACGCUCAGGCGCGAAAGCUAGGGGAGCGAAC
rnacentral:rRNA from 1 species